rnacentral:lncRNA from 10 species
AGUCAAAUCUCAGUGUUUUGGACCGGGCACGGUGACUCACAACUGGAAUCCCAGCACUUUGGAAACCCGAGGCCCAGGCCCUUCCUAAUCUCCAGCUCCACCAGCUUCAAGGCAGAAUCUGAAUCCACACAGAGUCUGAGGUAUCUUGGAAACCCUCUCCUUCCCUCUUGGAUGUGUGGACUGUCAGACAUUGUGAAGAGGAGAAGAGGAAGAGGAAAGACGCUGCCCCCAGUAUGCAGACAGAGAGCACCCCGUUCCAGAGAGGCCAGCGCUCCAGGAGUGACAGCUGCUAAUGCCCUUCUUCCUUCAGUCUCCCUGCCCCAGCUACCCUCUCCCUCCCUCCUCUCCCUCCUUCCCUUUCUUCCCGCAGCAAAACACACGGAGCCCAGUGAUCUGCAGGCACAGUGCCGGGCCCUAGCGCUCCAUGGGCACAAGUGACAGCUGUGGCCGAGGUCGGGGAGGGUGCUGGACUGGAAGCCUUGGGAGGCUCUGAGCACACAGGAUUUGGGGCUGAUACUAUUGAGGGUCAGAGGCUGCUGGACUGGGUUGUAAAGCAUCUGAGGCUUUGAAGACCAUUUGGAUAAUUGGGUGUUGCAGGCUCAGGGUGAGUUUGGGGCUUCCUGGAGACUUUGGGGUGCAGAGUAGCCCCUUCCCAGGCCGGCUCUCUGCCUGCCUUUGGACCUGGGAUGUUUCUGCUGGGAAGCAAGUGGACUGGUGCCUUGGAGAGGAUGCCUGUGGGGAGGGGCUGGACUGCUCACAGGGCCUCCUGAUCCUCGUUUCUCAGUGUCACUGAUGUUCAAUUCUGAAAGUUCUGCCUUUAGAGUUAUCUCAAUAGCCCAAUGUGCCUCCUUCCUGGCAUGGUUGUCCAGGGGCAGACACCCUUCUGGGGUUGGCCUGUUUGGGAGAAGCCUGAGAUCUGCAGAGAAGUCUGCCAGGCGGCCUGGGACUAAAAGCUGCAGAAGGUGGGGCAUGAGGAAGCAGUGGGCAGGCAGAAGGAGUGGGCAGGUGGUCUGCUGCUGCCUCGGGGAUGCAGCUUGAGCUGGACUUUCUGCCUGGCUCCGUCUUGUCACCGAGUUCGCAGCAUAAACGUCAUCCCUCAGAGACGCUGACUCGAUCUCUAAUAAAAGCUAUCAGCCUGUCCCCCUUUACUACGAGACCCCUCUUAGCUCUGCAGAGCAUCCAUCACAGUUAGGCAUUUUUGCCUUUUUUUCCAUCCACCCACGCUUCCCACCCCACCAGGACGUGAGCUUGGACUUCAUCUUGUCAUCCCAGCAGCAAGGAGUCGAUUUUGCAGGAUGGAUGGAAAACACAGAGAGGACCAGCUGUUUCAUUUCUAGGCACCUCACUUCUAACCUGGAACCGGUUCCGAGAGGAAGGACCAGGAAGACCCAUGUGUCGGGAAUGGUGGACAGAAGGAGUGUGCUCAGCUGCCGCCGAGAAGACCACACGCUGGGUGCUGAAAAGAUGGGGGGACCUGCUAGGAACCAUGGCCCUGGGCUAAGUCGGGGAUGAAGGCGGGAGCUGCUGUGCUGGACUGCAGCUCAGCACAGAGACAGUGAGCCUAGAUUGCAGAGCUGCCCAGGGAGGGAUGUCACCUUGGGGGAUGGAGGCUGCAGGUGCUCCUCAGACCUUAGGGAAACAUUUGGGAGGGAGCUUGUUGAGGAGAUACAGGCACCUCAGGGUGGCUGGGCUGGAUGGACUUUGAUGACCCUUCCUUUUUUGAGACCUGAUGGUUCUCUAAUUUGGGAAUCAUUUCCAAAGAUGGGUCUAAAAAUCCUUGUUUCAUUGGAAAUAAUGAGUUUGCUAUGAUGCUUAAGACCAAGCAUGUCACCAUUUGUUAUUACUGCACUUUUCCCUGCCGUUUUCCUUUCCUUUUAUUUUUAAUGGAUGAUGUUAGGUU